rnacentral:rRNA from 1 species
UCGCCCAGGGAGGGGGUCGCGACGUAUCAGCUUGUUGGUGGGGUAAUGGCCUACCAAGGCUACGACGCGUAGCGGGUCUGAGAGGACGACCCGUCACAUUGGGACUGAGAUACGGCCCAG